rnacentral:rRNA from 1 species
UGCGUAGGCGGUUUGGUAAGUCUGAUGUGAAAUCUAUGGGCUCAACUCAUAGUCUGCAUCGGAAACUGCCGGGCUUGAGUGUGGGAGAGGUGAGUGGAAUUCCUGGUGUAGCGGUGAAAUGCGUAGAUAUCAGGAGGAACACCUGUGGCGAAAGCGGCUCACUGGACCAUAACUGACGCUGAUGCACGAAAGCUAGGGGAGCAAACAGGAUUAGAUACCCUGGUAGUCCUAGCCCUAAACGAUGACUGCUUGGUGUGACGGGUACCCAAUCCCGCGUGCCGUAGCUAACGCGUUAAGCAGUCCGCCUGGGGAGUACGGUCGCAAGGCUGAA